GACGAACCGUGCGAACGUUGUUCGGAAUCACUGGGCUUAAAGGGCGCGUAGGCGGGCUGACAAGUCUGGGGUGAAAUCCCGCGGCUCAACCGUGGAACUGCCUUAGAUACUGUCGGCCUCGAGGAAGGUAGGGGCAUGCGGAACUGUAGGUGGAGCGGUGAAAUGCGUAGAGAUCGGAAAGAACACCAACGGCGAAAGCACUCUGCUGGGCCGACACUGACACUGAGAGACGAAAGCUAGGGGAGCGAAUGGG
rnacentral:rRNA from 1 species